CCGACCUUAGCUCAGUUGGUAGAGCGGAGGACUGUAGAUCCUUAGGUCGCUGGUUCGAAUCCGGCAGGUCAGA
rnacentral:tRNA from 1 species